UACGUAGGGGGCGAGCGUUGUCCGGAUUUAUUGGGCGUAAAGAGCUCGUAGGUGGUUUGGUAAGUCGGAUGUGAAAUCUCCAGGCUCAACCUGGAGGGGUCAUUCGAUACUGCCAUGACUAGAGUUCGGUAGGGGAGUGUGGAAUUCCUGGUGGAGCGGUGAAAUGCGCAGAUAUCAGGAGGAACACCGGUGGCGAAGGCGGAUCUCUGGGCCUUGCCUGACGCUGAGGCGCGAAAGCCAGGGGAGCAAACGGG
rnacentral:rRNA from 1 species